UAGGGAAUCUUCCGCAAUGGGCGAAAGCCUGACGGAGCAACGCCGCGUGAGUGAAGAAGGUCUUCGGAUCGUAAAACUCUGUUAUUAGGGAAGAACAAAUGUGUAAGUAACUAUGCACGUCUUGACGGUACCUAAUCAGAAAGCCACGGCUAACUACGUGCCAGCAGCCGCGGUAAUACGUAGGUGGCAAGCGUUAUCCGGAAUUAUUGGGCGUAAAGCGCGCGUAGGCGGUUUUUUAAGUCUGAUGUGAAAGCCCACGGCUCAACCGUGGAGGGUCAUUGGAAACUGGAAAACUUGAGUGCAGAAGAGGAAAGUGGAAUUCCAUGUGUAGCGGUGAAAUGCGCAGAGAUAUGGAGGAACACCAGUGGCGAAGGCGACUUUCUGGUCUGUAACUGACGCUGAUGUGCGAAAGCGUGGGGAUCAAACAGG
rnacentral:rRNA from 4 species